GCCGUAGUAGCUCAGCAGUAGAGAAGCUGCCUUGCAUGCAGAAGGUCCCAGGUUCAAUCCCUGGGAUCUUCAGUUUGGGGCA